rnacentral:tRNA from 1 species
GCAUGCUUAGCUCAGACGGUAGAGCGCCUGAUUUGUAAUCAGGAGGUCGGGGGGGCGAGGCCCUCAGUUUGCA